AGAGGAGCUAGGUCAACCAAAACCCUCACCUCCCACUCUGACAAAGAAGACUAAAGGGAUCUGGGGAGAAGUGUGAUGCCCCUGUGCAUGGACACUUCCAUCUCCUGUGAGGAGCCCUGGGUGACCCUGGAUGUCAUAGUGCUAUUUCCCCCAAGAGAUCUGGUCCCCAAAAAUCUUUGAGGUGAGUUGAAGAAGGAAGUUCCAUCUUCUAUAGCUACUUCUGGC
rnacentral:lncRNA from 1 species